CGUACUGAGACACGGACCAGACUCCUACGGGAGGCAGCAGUGGGGAAUCUUGUGCAAUGGGCGAAAGCCUGACACAGCAACGCCGCGUGCGGGAAGAAGGCCUUCGGGUCGUAAACCGCUUUCAGCAGGAACGAAAAUGACGGUACCUGCAGAAGAAGCACCGGCUAACUAUGUGCCAGCAGCCGCGGUAAUACAUAGGGUGCAAGCGUUGUCCGGAAUUAUUGGGCGUAAAGAGCUCGUAGGUGGUUCGUCACGUCGGAUGUGAGACUCUGGGGCUUAACCCCAGACCUGCAUUCGAUACGGGCGAGCUUGAGUAUGGUAGGGGAGUCUGGAAUUCCUGGUGUAGCGGUGGAAUGCGCAGAUAUCAGGAGGAACACCAAUGGCGAAGGCAGGACUCUGGGCCAUUACUGACACUGAGGAGCGAAAGCGUGGGGAGCGAACAGGAUUAGAUACCCUGGUAGUCCACGCCGUAAACGGUGGGCACUAGUUGUGGGGACCUUCCACGGUCUCUGCGACGCAGCUAACGCAUUAAGUGCCCCGCCUGGGGAGUACGAUCGCAAGAUUAAAACUCAAAGGAAUUGACGG
rnacentral:rRNA from 1 species